rnacentral:rRNA from 1 species
UACGGGGGGGGCAAGCGUUGUUCGGAAUUACUGGGCGUAAAGGGCUCGUAGACGGCCAACUAAGUCAUACGUGAAAUCCCUCGGCUUAACCGGGGAACUGCGUCUGAUACUGGAUGGCUUGAGUUCGGGAGAGGGAUGCGGAAUUCCAGGUGUAGCGGUGAAAUGCGUAGAUAUCAAGAGGAACACCUGAGGUGAAGACGGGUUGCUGGGCCGACACUGACGCUGACAGCGCGAAAGCCAGGGGAGCAAACGGG